UACGGAGGAGGCAAGCGUUAUCCGGAGUUAUUGGGCGUAAAGAGUCCGUAGGUGGUUGGCCAAGUCUGCUGUCAAAGGGUGGGGCUUAACCUCAUAAAGGCAGUGGAAACUGGCGAGCUAGAGUGCGGUAGGGGUAGGGGGAAUUACCAGUGUAGCGGUGAAAUGCGUAGAGAUUGGGAAGAACAUCGGUGGCGAAAGCGCCCUGCUGGGCCUGCACUGACACUGAGGGACGAAAGCUUGGGGAGCGAAAGGG
rnacentral:rRNA from 1 species